rnacentral:rRNA from 1 species
GGCGAACGCUGGCGGCGGGCUUAACACAUGCAAGUCGAACGGAAAGGCCCUGCUUUUGUGGGGUGCUCGAGUGGCGAACGGGUGAGGAACACGUGAGUAACCGGCCCUUGACUUUGGGAUAACUUCAGGAAACUGGGGCUAAUACCGGAUAGGAGCUCCUGCUGCAUGGUGGGGGUUGGAAAUUUUAGGCGGGUGGGGAUGGACGCGCGGCUUAUCAGCUUGUUGGUGGGGUAGUGGCUUACCAAGGGUUUGACGGGUAGCCGGCCGGAGAGGGUGACCGGGGACCUGGGGACUGCGAGACGGACCAGAGUCCUACGGGAGGCAGCAGUGGGGAAUCUUGUACAAUGGGAGGAAGCCUGAUGCAGCAACGCCGCGUGCGGGAUGACGGCCUUCGGGUUGUAAACCGCUUUAGGCUGUGACGAAGCGUGAGUGACGGUAAUGGGUAAAGAAGCACCGGCUAACUACGUG